GUAGUUCCCAGGCCGGUGUUCCCGUAUGGUCUCACUCUGUCAUGCAUGAUGGACUGCAGUGGUGCAAUCAUGGCUCACUGUAGCUUCGACCACCCUGGCUCCGGUCAUCAUCCUACCUCAGCCUCCCAGGUAUGUGGGAUUACAGUGGUGUCAGUCAUCAACCUUGUGAUCACUGAGGAAAAGAUACAAUAAUCCUUGCCUAUCCGACCCAACCAGGAUCCUGAGCCCUCACUUUCUCCCUGCGUUCCUCAUGAUCCAUUUGACUAUAAUGCAGAAAGUUUGUUUAGCUACUGGCUGGUAUCUGUAACUCCUAUGACAGCUCACACUCCUUGAAGAAGAAGAGAGAAAACAGAAGACUUGUCCUGUGGAUAGAUUAUUUCUUCUUCUGUUUGUUUGUUCUUUGUAUGCUCUCGACAACAUCCACAUACACAAAUGCACAUACAUAAACACAGAAACUUUUUCUUAACAUGGACAAUCUGAAAGAGAAAGCAGCACAACAACCAUUUUGGAUGAUCGAGACUAUUUUUAUAUUAUUACAGUACAAUUGCAGAAUGAAUUCAAAAGGGCAAGCCCCUAGCAAUGAUAAUGCUAAAUGGCUGGUGGAUGUAAAUAAUUAGUGGUCAAUAUAUUAUCCAUGAUAUGUGGCAAGUUUGAAAGUUGGAAAUGCAGAAUCCCUGUUCUGGUCAUAUUAUUGUACUUGGAUCUGCUGGGAACCAUUUGAUACUCUGGGAUUCUCAUUGAGAAUCCAGUGAUAGCUAAUGUUGAAUAUUGCUUGCUGCUGGGCAACAGUGACUGUCAAAACAUUCCGUCACCACUUUUUUUUUUCAGUUUAGAAAAAGGGUCUUGGAUGUUGCCUAGGCUGGCCGGAAACUCCUGAAGUCAAGUGAUUCUCCUGUCUUUGCCUUUAGUUCUGGAAGUACUGGGAGUGAACCUCUGCACCAGGAUUUCCCUCACCAUUUUCUGUAAAAUGGCUUACUACAAAGAACAUUUCUGUAGUAUAUUUUUAUGUAUGUAUGUAUUAUGUAUUUAUUUAUUUAUUUAUUUUUGAGACAGAGUCACAAUGCUGCCCAGGCCCUAGUGCAGUGGUGUGAUCUUAGCUUACUGCAACAUCUGCUUCUGUGUUCAAGAGAUUCUCCUGCCUUAGCCUGUGGAGUAGCUGGAAUUACAGGUGCACACCACCAAGCCCGGCUAAUUUUUAUCUUCUUUGGUAGAGACCGUGUACACACACACACACACACACACACACACACACACAUUUAGGUAGAUACGAGGUCUCGCUCACAGCAGCUUCAGCAAACACAGAUUUCUGGUGUUGGAGGACAGAUUUAACUACAGAAAAUUCUGUUGGGCAAUCGGAAGCCUCAAUCUAUACAGACUUUUAGGAGGAGCCUGCCUGUUUGGUUCAAAUUUAGCCAAAAUAUUUUUUUUUUACCACU
rnacentral:lncRNA from 1 species